UAUCGGAUUGAUACUAAGCCAUGCGAGUCAUUGUAGCAAUACAAGGCAUACGGCUCAGUAACGCGUAGUCAACCUAACCUAUGGACGGGAAUAACCUCGGGAAACUGAGAAUAAUGCCCGAUAGAACAUUAUACCUGGAAUGGUUUAUGUUUCAAAUGAUUUAUCGCCGUAGGAUGGGACUGCGGCCUAUCAGUUUGUUGGUGAGGUAAUGGCCCACCAAGGCUAUUACAGGUACGGGCUCUGAGAGGAGUAGCCCGGAGAUGGGUACUGAGACACGGACCCAGGCCCUAUGGGGCGCAGCAGGCGAGAAAACUUUGCAAUGUGCGAAAGCACGACAAGGUUAAUCCGAGUGGUUUCUGCUAAAGAAACCUUUUGUUAGUCCUAGAAACACUAACGAAUAAGGGGUGGGCAA
rnacentral:rRNA from 1 species